UACAUGCAGUCGUACGCUAGCCGCUGAAUUGAUCCUUCGGGUGAAGUGAGGCAAUGACUAGAGUGGCGAACUGGUGAGUAACACGUAAGAAACCUGCCCUUUAGUGGGGGAUAACAUUUGGAAACAGAUGCUAAUACCGCGUAACAACAAAUCACACAUGUGAUCUGUUUGAAAGGUCCUUUUGGAUCGCUAGAGGAUGGUCUUGCGGCGUAUUAGCUUGUUGGUAGGGUAGAAGCCUACCAAGGCAAUGAUGCGUAGCCGAGUUGAGAGACUGGCCGGCCACAUUGGGACUGAGACACUGCCCAAACUCCUACGGGAGGCUGCAGUAGGGAAUUUUCCGCAAUGCACGAAAGUGUGACGGAGCGACGCCGCGUGUGUGAUGAAGGCUUUCGGGUCGUAAAGCACUGUUGUAAGGGAAGAAUAACUGAAUUCAGAGAAAGUUUUCAGCUUGACGGUACCUUACCAGAAAGGGAUGGCUAAAUACGUGCCAGCAGCCGCGGUAAUACGUAUGUCCCGAGCGUUAUCCGGAUUUAUUGGGCGUAAAGCGAGCGCAGACGGUUUAUUAAGUCUGAUGUGAAAUCCCGAGGCCCAACCUCGGAACUGCAUUGGAAACUGAUUUACUUGAGUGCGAUAGAGGCAAGUGGAACUCCAU
rnacentral:rRNA from 1 species